GACGAACGCUGGCGGCGUGCUUAACACAUGCAAGUCGAACGGAAAGGCCCUGCUUUUGUGGGGUGCUCGAGUGGCAAACGGGUGAGUAACACGUGAGUAACCUGCCCUUGACUUUGGGAUAACUUCAGGAAACUGGGGCUAAUACCGGAUAGGAGCUCCUGCUGCAUGGUGGGGGUUGGAAAGUUUCGGCGGUUGGGGAUGGACUCGCGGCUUAUCAGCUUGUUGGUGGGGUAGUGGCUUACCAAGGCUUUGACGGGUAGCCGGCCUGAGAGGGUGACCGGCCACAUUGGGACUGAGAUACGGCCCAGGCUCCUACGGGAGGCAGCAGUGGGGAAUAUUGCACAAUGGGCGGAAGCCUGAUGCAGCAACGCCGCGUGCGGGAUGACGGCCUUCGGGUUGUAAACCGCUUUCGCCUGUGACGAAGCGUGAGUGACGGUAAUGGGUAAAGAAGCACCGGCUAACUACGUG
rnacentral:rRNA from 1 species